AUCUCCGUGUUAUUACUUUCCAGGUCUAGAUCUGGCUCUCGAGAAAGACGGCGUCGUAGGUCACGUUCGCCAUUGGACUCUCGGCGCAGGUCUCGCUCUAGAUCACGCUCUAGACAUUCCAGUUCUCGUGAUAGACGUUCCUCACGGGAGAGGAAAGACCGCGAAAAGGGACGUUCAAGUGAAAAGGAGAGAUUAAAAAGAAGCAAGUCCAAAGACAAGGAGACUAAGAACAGUGGAUCAGAUGAUGAGAAAAGAACAUGUAAAAGAGAUAAACAGUCUGAAGAAGAGAAUAAUUUGGAUAAUAAAAUAGACAAAUGAUAGUACAUAUGAGCAGUUCUCAAGCAUUAGUUAUGUGUUUUUUUUUUGUUUUACUUUUACAUAUACAGCUGUAUUCAUUGUAUUCUUUAUUUUAAAACAGAUCAUUAAAAAAAAAGAACUAUAUUGUAAGUGGUUAAGAUUACUUGAAGGGCUUUCUAAUACUCUGAAGAAACAGUUCUCUCCCAACUCUUGUGGACUUCAUUACAUUUUUGGCAUGGGCUUUAAACUGAAAAAUAUGUUUAUUGUAAGGAUUGUAUAGACUAUGUGUUUGUGAGUCAUAAUAAACUGGAUUAAUUACAUUA